GAAACACCAUAGCUCACUCGGUUAGAGCGUGGUGCUGAUAACGCCAAGGUUGCAGGUUCGAUUCCCAUAUGGGACA